rnacentral:rRNA from 1 species
AUGAACGCUAGCUACAGGCUUAACACAUGCAAGUCGAGGGGCAGCAUUUUAGUUUGCUUGCAAACUAAAGAUGGCGACCGGCGCACGGGUGAGUAACACGUAUCCAACCUGCCGAUAACUCGGGGAUAGCCUUUCGAAAGAAAGAUUAAUAUCCGAUAGUAUAUUAAAACCGCAUGGUUUUACUAUUAAAGAAUUUCGGUUAUCGAUGGGGAUGCGUUCCAUUAGUUUGUUGGCGGGGUAACGGCCCACCAAGACUACGAUGGAUAGGGGUUCUGAGAGGAAGGUCCCCCACAUUGGAACUGAGACACGGUCCAAACUCCUACGGGAGGCAGCAGUGAGGAAUAUUGGUCAAUGGACGAGAGUCUGAACCAGCCAAGUAGCGUGAAGGAUGACUGCCCUAUGGGUUGUAAACUUCUUUUAUAUGGGAAUAAAGUAUUCCACGUGUGGGAUUUUGUAUGUACCAUAUGAAUAAGGAUCGGCUAACUCCGUGCCAGCAGCCGCGGUAAUACGGAGGAUCCGAGCGUUAUCCGGAUUUAUUGGGUUUAAAGGGAGCGUAGGUGGAUUGUUAAGUCAGUUGUGAAAGUUUGCGGCUCAACCGUAAAAUUGCAGUUGAAACUGGCAGUCUUGAGUACAGUAGAGGUGGGCGGAAUUCGUGGUGUAGCGGUGAAAUGCUUAGAUAUCACGAAGAACUCCGAUUGCGAAGGCAGCUCACUAGACUGCAACUGACACUGAUGCUCGAAAGUGUGGGUAUCAAACAGGAUUAGAUACCCUGGUAGUCCACACCGUAAACGAUGAUUACUAGGUGUUGGAGGAUUGACCCCUUCAGUGCCGCAGUUAACACAAUAAGUAAUCCACCUGGGGAGUACGACCGCAAGGUUGAAACUCAAAGGAAUUGACGGGGGCCCGCACAAGCGGAGGAACAUGUGGUUUAAUUCGAUGAUACGCGAGGAACCUUACCCGGGCUUAAAUUGCAUUUGAAUAAUCUGGAAACAGGUUAGCCGCAAGGCAAAUGUGAAGGUGCUGCAUGGUUGUCGUCAGCUCGUGCCGUGAGGUGUCGGCUUAAGUGCCAUAACGAGCGCAACCCUUAUCUUUAGUUACUAACAGGUCAUGCUGAGGACUCUAGAGAGACUGCCGUCGUAAGAUGUGAGGAAGGUGGGGAUGACGUCAAAUCAUCAUGCCCCUUAUGAUUUGGGCUACACACGUGCUACAAUGGCGUAAACAAAGGGAAGCAAAGCUGUGAAGCCGAGCAAAUCUCAAAAAUAACGUCUCAGUUCGGACUGUAGUCUGCAACCCGACUACACGAAGCUGGAAUCGCUAGUAAUCGCAGAUCAGAAUGCUGCGGUGAAUACGUUCCCGGGCCUUGUACACACCGCCCGUCACACCAUGAGAGUCGGUAACACCCGAAGCCUGUAGCCUAACCGUAAGGAGGGCGCAGUCGAAGGUGGGAUUGAUGAUUGGGGUG